rnacentral:tRNA from 1 species
UCCCUUGUGGCUCAGAUGGUAAAGCGUCUGCCUGCAAUGCGGGAGACCUGGGUUCGAUUCCUGGGUCAGGAA